UAUGGAGAGAGUAAAAAGACUAAUGGUUUAUAGGAGUUGGGGAGACGAGAAGGAUGAAUAGGAGCAUUUUUAGGGCAACGAAGCGAUUCUGCACGAAGCUACCAUGGGUGAAGAGCUGGUCAACAUUGAGCAGGAUUCUCUAAGGAAAGAAGAAGGAGAAGACAUGGAGGAUGACCAGGACACACAUCAGAAAGGGAACAUGUUUUCUACAUCUAAUUCCUCAGGGUUUGGCACACUUGAUUCUGUGAAGAUUAAUCCAACCCAUGGCUGAUUUUCGUCUAAAAUGAAAUAAAUU